rnacentral:rRNA from 1 species
CCAGCCCGCUCAGAACUCAAAGGAAUUGACGGGGCCGCACAAGCGGAGGAGCAUGUGGUUUAAUUCGAUGAUACGCGAGGAACCUUACCUGGGCUCGAACGUAAGAUGACUGUAGGUGAAAGCUUACAUCUCUUCGGAGCAUUUUACGAGGUGCUGCAUGGUUGUCGUCAGCUCGUGCCGUGAGGUGUCGGGUUAAGUCCCAUAACGAGCGCAACCCCUACCUUUAGUUGCCAUCAGGUUAAGCUGGGGACUCUAAAGGAACUGCCUACGCAAGUAGUGAGGAAGGCGGGGAUGACGUCAAAUCAGCACGGCCCUUACGUCCAGGGCUACACACGUGCUACAAUGGCCGAUACAGAGGGCAGCUACCUGGUGACAGGAUGCAAAUCUCCAAAGUCGGUCUCAGUUCGGAUCGGAGUCUGCAACCCGACUCCGUGAAGUUGGAUUCGCUAGUAAUCGCGCAUCAGCCAUGGCGCGGUGAAUACGUUCCCGGGCCUU